rnacentral:rRNA from 1 species
GACGAACGCUGGCGGCGUGCUUAACACAUGCAAGUCGAACGAUGAAGCCCUUUCGGGGGGUGGAUUAGUGGCGAACGGGUGAGUAACACGUGGGUAACCUGCCCUGUACCCUGGGAUAAGCCUUGGAAACGAGGUCUAAUACCGGAUAUGACCUGCUCUCGCAGUGGGGGGUGGGUGGAAAGUUUUGGCGGUGCAGGAUGGACCCGCGGCCUAUCAGCUUGUUGGUGGGGUGAUGGCCUACCAAGGCGACGACGGGUAGCCGGCCUGAGAGGGCGACCGGCCACACUGGGACUGAGACACGGCCCAGACUCCGUACGGGAGGCAGCAGGUGGGGAGUAUUGCACAAUGGGCGAAAGCCUGAUGCAGCGACGCCGCGUGAGGGAUGACGGCC